CAGCCGCCACGGUAAUACGAAGGGUGCAAGCGUUACUCGGAAUUACUGGGCGUAAAGCGUGCGUAGGUGGUGGUUUAAGUCCGUUGUGAAAGCCCUGGGCUCAACCUGGGAAUUGCAGUGGAUACUGGGUCACUAGAGUGUGGUAGAGGAUAGUGGAAUUUCCGGUGUAGCAGUGAAAUGCGUAGAGAUCGGAAGGAACAUCUGUGGCGAAGGCGACUAUCUGGGACAACACUGACGCUGAGGCAAGAAAGCGUGGGGAGCAAACAGGAUUAGAUACCCCAGUAGUCCCUGUCUCUUAUAC
rnacentral:rRNA from 1 species